rnacentral:lncRNA from 1 species
UUUCCACGUUUGCAAGAAAUAUGGCAUGGCCAAGCACUGCCUGUCAGCUUCUUCAACAAUUUAAGAGAGCUGGUGGUGGAUGACUGCACGAAUAUGUCGAGUGCUAUUCCUGCCAAUCUGCUACGGUGCUUGAACAAUUUGGAAUACCUGGCAGUGAGGAAUUGUGAUUCACUAGAAGAGGUGCUUCAUUUGGAAGAACUAAUUAAUGCUGAGGAAGAACAUUUUGGCCAACUGUUCCCUAAUCUUUACGAGCUAAAGCUCAUUGAUCUUCCAAAACUCAAAAGAUUCUGCAACUUCACUGGGAAUAUAAUUGAACUGCCUAAGUUGGACAAUCUAACUAUUGAGAAUUGCCCUAGUAUGGAAACACUGCCUGUCAGCUUCUUCAACAAUUUAAGAGACCUGGUGGUGGAUGACUGCACGAAUAUGUCGAGUGCUAUUCCUGCCAAUCUGCUACGGUGCUUGAACAAUUUGGCAUGGCUGAAAGUGAGGAAUUGUGAUUCACUAGAAGAGGUGCUUCAUUUGGAAGAGCUAAGUGCUAAGGAAGAACAUAUAGGCCCCAUGUUUCCUGAGCUUUCCCUGCUAGGGCUCAUUGAUCUUCCAAAACUCAAAAGAUUCUGCAACUUCACUGGGAAUAUAAUUGAAAUGCCUAAGUUGGAAUAUCUCAUUAUUGAGAAUUGCCCUGAUAUGGAAACAUUCAUAUCCAACUCUGUAGUGCACGUGACAACAGAUAACAAGGAACCUCAAAAAUUAACAUCAGAAGAGAACUUCUUGCUGGCUCAUCAAGUACAACCUCUCUUUGAUGAAAAGGUG